CGGACAUUUAACCGUUGCUUUGGUGUCCACUCGAAAAU
rnacentral:sRNA from 1 species